rnacentral:rRNA from 1 species
AUUGAACGCUGGCGGCAGGCUUAACACAUGCAAGUCGAGCGGAGAGAGGUAGCUUGCUACUGAUCUUAGCGGCGGACGGGUGAGUAAUGCUUAGGAAUCUGCCUAUUAGUGGGGGACAACAUUUCGAAAGGAAUGCUAAUACCGCAUACGUCCUACGGGAGAAAGCAGGGGAUCUUCGGACCUUGCGCUAAUAGAUGAGCCUAAGUCGGAUUAGCUAGUUGGUGGGGUAAAGGCCUACCAAGGCGACGAUCUGUAGCGGGUCUGAGAGGAUGAUUCGCCACACUGGGACUGAGACACGGCCCAGACUCCUACGGGAGGCAGCAGUGGGGAAUAUUGGACAAUGGGCGCAAGCCUGAUCCAGCCAUGCCGCGUGUGUGAAGAAGGCCUUAUGGUUGUAAAGCACUUUAAGCGAGGAGGAGGCUACUUUAGUUAAUACCUAGAGAUAGUGGACGUUACUCGCUGAAUAAGCACCGGCUAACUCUGUGCCAGCAGCAGCCGCCG